UAUUGGACAAUGGGCGAAAGCCUGAUCCAGCCAUGCCGCGUGAGUGAUGAAGGCCCUAGGGUUGUAAAGCUCUUUCACCGGUGAAGAUUAUGACGGUAGCAGAUGAAUAAGGAUCGGCUAACUCCGUUCCAGCAGCCGCGGUCAUACGGAGGAUCCAAGCGUUAUCCGGAAUUACUGGGCGUAAAGAGUUGCGUAGGUGGCAGAGUAAGUAGAUAGUGAAAGCAUGGGGCUCAACCCCAUAUCCAUUAUCUAAACUGCUUAGCUAGAGGACGAGAGAGGUAGAUGGAAUUUCCAGUGUAGGAGUGAAAUCCGUAGAUAUUGGAAGGAACACCGAUGGCGUAGGCAGUCUACUGGCUCGUUCCUGACACUAAGGCACGAAAGCGUGGGGAGCAA
rnacentral:rRNA from 1 species